rnacentral:rRNA from 1 species
UGCAUGCAAGUCGCACGCACCGUUCGCGGUGAGUGGCGCACGGCUGAGGAACACGUAGGAAUCUGCCCUGGGGUGGGGGAUAACGCGGAGAAAUCCGCGCUAAUCCCGCAUACGCUUCGCAAGAAGGAAAGCGGCAACGCGCCCGAGGAGGAGCCUGCAGCCCAUCAGGUCGUUGGUGGGGUAACGGCCUACCAAGCCAAUGACGGGUAGCUGGUCUGAGAGGACAGACAGCCAGACUGGGACUGAGAACGGCCCAGACUCCUACGGGAGGCAGCAGCAAGGAAUUUUAGUCAAUGGGCGCAAGCCUGAACGAGCAACGCCGCGUGCGGGAUGACGGCCUUCGGGUUGUAAACCGCUUUUGUGGGGGACGAUGAUGACGGUACCCUGCGAACAAGCCCCGGCUAACUCUGUGCCAGCAGCCGCGGUAAUACAGAGGGGGCAAGCGUUGUCCGGACUUACUGGGCGUAAAGGGUCCGCAGGUGGCGCGGCAAGUGUGAUGUGAAAGCCCCGCGCUUCACGCGGGGAGGCCAUUACCGACUGCCGGGCUGGAGGGCUGCAGAGGGUCGUGGAAUUGCCGGUGUAGUGGUGAAAUGCGUAGAGAUCGGCAGGAACACCAAGGACGAAGGUAGCGACCUGGGCAGCACCUGACACUGAGGGACGACAGCGUGGGGGAGCGAACCGGAUUAGAUACCCGGGUAGUCCACGCCGUAAACGAUGGAUGCUCGGCGUGUGGCGGCUAUCAACGCCGCUGGGCGCCUCAGCUGACGCGGAAGCAUCCCGCCUGGGAACUACGAGCGCAAGCUUAAAACUCAAAGGAAUUGACGG